AGUCACUGACAUUAGAUACCCCCGUAGUCCUAGGCGUAAAUGAUGCGAGUUAAGUGUGGGGGCAUCUACGAGAUGGCCCUGUGCUGUAGGGUAGCCGUUAAACUCGCUGCCUGGGGAGUACGGUCGCAAGGCUGAAACUUAAAGGAAUUGCGGGGGAGCACCACAACGGGUGGAGCCUGCGGUUUAAUCGGACUCAACGCCGGGAAUCUCACCGGAUAAGACAGCUGAAUGAUAGUCGGGAUGAAGACUCUACUUGACUAGCUG
rnacentral:rRNA from 1 species